rnacentral:rRNA from 1 species
CCGGCGACCGGCGCACGGGUGAGUAACGCGUAUCCAACCUUCCGUACACUCAGGGAUAGCCUUUCGAAAGAAAGAUUAAUACCUGAUGGUAUGAUGAGAUUGCAUGAUAGCAUCAUUAAAGAUUUAUCGGCGUACGAUGGGGAUGCGUUCCAUUAGGUAGUAGGCGGGGUAGCGGCCCACCUAGCCAACGAUGGAUAGGGGUUCUGAGAGGAAGGUCCCCCACAUUGGAACUGAGACACGGUCCAAACUCCUACGGGAGGCAGCAGUGAGGAAUAUUGGUCAAUGGACGAGAGUCUGAACCAGCCAAGUAGCGUGAAGGAUGAAGGUCCUACGGAUUGUAAACUUCUUUUAUAAGGGAAUAAACCCUCCCACGUGUGGGAGCUUGUAUGUACCUUAUGAAUAAGCAUCGGCUAACUCCGUGCCAGCAGCCGCGGUAAUACGGAGGAUGCGAGCGUUAUCCGGAUUUAUUGGGUUUAAAGGGAGCGCAGACGGGUCGUUAAGUCAGCUGUGAAAGUUUGGGGCUCAACCUUAAAAUUGCAGUUGAUACUGGCGUCCUUGAGUGCGGUUGAGGUGUGCGGAAUUCGUGGUGUAGCGGUGAAAUGCUUAGAUAUCACGAAGAACUCCGAUUGCGAAGGCAG